rnacentral:pre_miRNA from 1 species
GGGAGGUGUGAUCCCGUGCUCCCUGGGAGGUGUAUCCUUUGCUCCUUGGGAGGUAUGAUCUCGUGCUCCGU